rnacentral:rRNA from 1 species
AUGGCCACUACCGAGGCUGGGGCUGAUGUAGAGGAGGCAGAAGAGAAGAAGAAGAAGGAAAGGAAAGUAGCUGGAGCUGCUUUCACAUGGAUUCAAAGCAACUUUGCUCAUUGCCCUAUAGAUGCCACUGAUGAUGUGAUACAGACACAUGCUCUUGACUAUAUGUGGUACGUUGUCUCGAGAACUUUCUUCCCUGACUCCACAGGCAAGAACGCUCCAUGGAUGUGGCUGAAGGCGUUGACCGUCUUCGAUAGCAGAUGGAGCUGGGGUUCAGUGACUCUUUCCUACUUGUACCGACAGGUAGUUGGUUUGUUUUGUUAUCAAGUCAUUUCUUCAUUAGCAAUGCAAUCUUGUUGUCAAGUUAAUAUAGUUUUCUUUCAUAUGCAGCUAGACGAUGUGUGUUGCAGGAUCACAAGUAGUGCAGCCAUUGGAAGUAAUAUGCUUCUACCUUAUGUAUGCAGCUGGGAGCGUCUGCCUGUUGGACGCCCAAAGAGCGUCAAGUUUAAUCCUUGGGAUGAAGAUGGCGAAGUAAUAUGCUUACAAGUGGGAUGUGGUAUCGGAGAUGACGAACGAUGUCAAUCUCAUGUACCAAAAGUACAUUGCCGAGUUGGACAUUACUUCAGUCAUUUCUCAUGCUUUCCUGAAAAAUUGUCAUCAAUGUUGCGUUGUUGCCCUAUUUCAUAG